rnacentral:rRNA from 1 species
GAUGAACGUUGGCGGCGUGCCUAACACAUGCAAGUCGAACGCUAGUAGCAAUAUUAGAGUGGCGCACGGGUGAGUAACACGUAGCUUACCCACCUCCCAGCGCGGGAUAACGGUUCGAAAGAACUGCUAAUACCGCAUAAGCUCACGGGCUAUAGAGGCUAGUGAGAAAAGGCUUAGGUCACUGGGAGCGGGGGCUGCGGCCCAUCAGCUGGUUGGGGCGGUAACGGCGCACCAAGGCGACGACGGGUAGGGGACCUGAGAGGGUGACCCCCACCAC